AAAAAAAGAAAACUUUUCUCCUCUCUCAUCUCUGUGGCGCCGCCCCACUCCACCACCUAUCUAUGCCGUCCGGUCAUGUCACCGGCCAUGAACUAUGUCAAACGAAACGCCGUAUCACUAGGGACUGGCCAAGCCGCCAACCGCCGCAAGCAGCCAGAGGUUGUUUGCCGGAAUAAGACAGUUGAAGCCGCGGUGGAACACAACAAAAACAGGGCCGAUCUGGCCACCUUAGACCUCGCCACCGUUCUCGGAUGCCACCUGCGUGUUCUGUGAUGUGAGGCUGACCUAACUCAACUAGCAGCUGGUCGGAAUAGAGAUCGGAGUAGGAAGAACCAGUUUUGACAUGUUGACCCGACCCAGUGUUACUUGUUAGCUGAUCCGGUUUGAGCGCAGAACGAAUGGCCUCGGGUAUACAGUAAUACCGAGCCUGUACCUACAAUUUGUGUUGAAUUGUUUCUAAAGAAGAAGAGUGGUGGGCCCAUGGCUUUAGAGUUGUUAGACCUUAAAUGGUGAAGGUGAGUUGGGCUCAAUUGACAAAUCAAAUUGGUUCUUUAAAUAUUGUACCAUUUAGUUACUAGGCCAUUAGGACCCAUGUGGGUCUCGGCUAUUUGAGGAAAUUGCAGGAAAUUUCUUUCCUUGGCCACGUGCCAAAAGGUCAAGUAAAUCAAUUUGUUUGAAGUUGACCCAUCAGUUGACUUUUGGUCAUUGGACCAUAAA